UGUUACUGUGUGAUGGUGUUACUGUGUGGUGGUGUUACUGUGUGGUGGUGUUACUGUGUGGUGGUGUUACUGUGUGUUACAUUUACAUUUACAUUUCUGGUAUUUGGCAGACGCUCUUAUCCAGAGCAUACAAAAGUGCUUUAAGUCUCUAUCAUUGAAAACAUUAACACUGGUUCAAUAGAUUAUAGACUGAGGAUACCAUUAGCCUAAAAUUGGAUGGGUUUUUUUAACAUAUAACAUAAACAGGGAAAGAUAAGAGCUAGUUUAAUUGCUUCAGGAAAAGGUAGGUCUUAAGACAUCGUUUGAUCGGCUGUACGGACAUCUAGGGGAAAAUUUCCAUUUUAGUCCUGCUUGAUCUUAGUGCUGCAUUCGACACUAUAGAUCAUAAUAUUCUCAUAGAUCGCUUACAAAAUCACACAGGUAUGCAGGGACAGGAAUUAAAAUGGUUUAGAUCCUACCGGUCUGAUCCAUACCACUUUGUAGAUUUAAAUGGAGAACUGUCCAGUGUAGUGCCAGUGAAAUACGGGGUCCCACAAGGGUCAGUUUUAGGACCUCUGCUUUUCUCAGUAUACAUGCUUCCAUUGGGUGACAUCAUUAGAAGGCAUGGGAUUAGUUUCCAUUGUUAUGUUGAUGAUACCCAGUUAUAUAUCUCAUCAAAACCAGAUGAAAUAUCUAAUUUGUCUAGACUAACUGAGUGUGUUAAAGGUAUUAGAGAUUGGAUGACCGAUAUAAUUUUCUAUUACUAAAUUCUGAUAAGACAGAGAUAUUACUUAUUGGUCCAAAAACCAGUACACAGAAGCUCUCGCAAUUCAGCUUGCAUCUAGAAGGAUGCACUGUUACUACUAGCUGGACAGUGACAGACCUGGGUGUAAUAUUAGACAGCAACUUAUCCUUUGAAAAUCAUAUUUCCAAUAUCACAAAAACAGCCUUCUUCCAUCUUAGAAUAUCACCAAGCUUAGGAACAUUUUAUCUGUAUCUGAUGCAGAAAAACUAGUUCAUGCAUUCCUGACCUCCAGACUGGACUACUGUAAUGCAUUACUAGGUGUUUGUCCUGCAUCUUCAAUAAACAAGCUACAGUUAGUCCAGAAUGCAGUCGCUAGAGUUCUUACCAGAUCAAGAAAAUAUGAUUAUAUAACCCCAUUAUCAUCAUCCCUGCACUGGCUACCUGUUAAGUUUAGAAUUGACUAUAAAUUAGCACUAAUUACGUACAAGUCUCUAAUUGGUUUAGCUCCCACCUAUCUCUCCAGUCUUCUAACACGUUACAAUCCACCACGCUCUUUAAGAUCACAAAAUUCCGGACUUCUAGUAGUUCCCAGAAUAUCAAAGUCCACAGAAGGGGGUAGAGCGUUUUCGUAUUUAGCUCCAAAACUUUAGAAUAGUCUUCCUGACAGUGUUCGAGGCUCAGACACAGUCUCCCAGUUUAAAUGUAGACUAAAGAGUAAAAUCUCUUCAGCCUGACAUACAUCUAACACAUCCCAUAACCUUGUGCCCAAGUACAUCUGAUUAAAUGCACAUUCAUCUAGUACUGCUAAUAUUAUGAACAGCAGCUACGCUAAUGCUGUUCCAUUGUUUCCCUUCUUCUACCCAUCCCGAGGCAUACAGAGACUGUGCUCCAGUGGCAUCCGGAGAUGGACCAGCUCCAGCCGGGUUCUGCUUGUGAGGAUUGGGAUAUUCAAGCAGCGCCAUGGACAACAACCUCCUUAUUGAUUUACAUAACACUAUACACAUGCUGUAUCUGCAUCACACAAUUGUCACCCAAAUGAGGAUGGGUUCGCUUUUGAGUCUGGUUCCUCUCAAGGUUUCUUCCUCAUACCAUCUAAGGGAGUUUUUCCUUGCCACAGUCGCCUCAGUCACCUCAGGCUUGCUCACUUGGGAUAACAUCUAGGACUGUCUGUCUGUCUGUCUGUUUAUAUGUUUGUUGUUUUCUUAUGUCGUUUCUCAUGUAAAGCUGCUUUGAGACAAUGCUCUUUGUUAAAAGCGCUAUAUAAAAAAAAGUUCAUUCCACCACCUCAGUGCCAGAACAGAGAAGAGUCUAGAUGAAUACCUACCUUUUACCCUGAGAGAUGGUGGGACCAGUCGGGCAGUGCUAGUGGAUCGGAGGGAGCGAGGUGCAGUGCGAGGAGUAAUAAGAUCUUUGAGCUGGGUGAGGACCAUGCUGUGAUGUGAAGAUGAGCCUCAGGGGGAGAUGGAGGUCAGUGUCCUGUCAGUGUCCUGUCAGUUAAUACAGUGGAGAAAAACACAAAGCUGCUACAGCUGAACAUCCAGAACCUGAGCUCCAGCCAUGAGGAACUUUUCUUCAGGAGAGAACGCUACAGAGCCUGGACCCUCAGACAGCUGGAGGUCAGUACACCUUCUCCCAGCAGUUCCUGAAACCAAACAUCGGUCAGUAGCAAGUCCAAAAGGAAGGGAGUAGAGUAAGUAAAGUAAAGUAAAGUAGAGUAUCUGACCUGUAGAAAGAGCAGAAAGACUGACCAUUACCCUGCUGCUGCUCCACAGACUGGACCCAGGGUUCGAACAGCAGACUCAGAGGACAGCAGGGGUCACUGUAUCCCACUGUAAGACUCAUAAACUGUACCCAUGUGAUAGAAUCACCAGAACCUUAUCAGGAACAUGAGGAACAUUCACAGUCUGAAACAGAGCACAUGAAAAAAUGUGACUCUGUCCUGCAGACCGGACCGCGGUAUCGGACCUGAGAUGACCCACAGGAGGAAAUCAGCUUCACUGGAACUGUGCUGCCAUUCCCAUGAAUGUGAACAGGACACAGACGGCUGGCCCUAGCUCCCUGACCCUGGCUCCAGGUCAGCAUUGUACAGCACUGUACAGCGGGACACUCCACAGACCUGCUGACGUGGAGAUCUUCUGAUUCAGUCGUCUAGACAUCAGCAUGUGGAUCUUCACCGAGUCACUCAGGUUCUUACAGCGGUCCAUUUCUCCUGCGAACUGACCAUUCACUUGAAGAUUAAUGUUCUCACAGCUCCUGACAGGUUCUUCACUGUUCUUCACCUCUCAGGUGUGUGUAUCUGCAGUAGAUCUACCUCCGCAGGUGUAUGAUUCCCCACACAUGUCCUCAUCUCAACCACAUUCACGCUUAUUUAUUUUAUUUUUUACUACAGUGAUUUUCUGUGGUGUGUUUGUGUGUGAAACAGCCUUUAUUUGUCACAUAUACAUUACAGCACAGUGAAAUUCUUUCUUCACAUAUCCCAUCCUUGGAGGUUGGGGUCAGAGCGCAGGGUCAGCCAUGAUACGGCGCCCCUGGAGCACAGAGGGUUAAGGGCCUUGCUCAAGGGCCCAACAGUGGCAACUUGGCGGUGCUGGGGCUUGAACCCCUGAUCUUCCGGUCAACGACCCAGAGCCUUAACCACUUGAGCCACCACUGCCCGAUAAUGUGUGUUUGUGCAUAUGUGUGUGUGUGUGUUUGUGCAUGUGUGUGUGUGUGUGUGUGUGUGUCCAUGUGUGUGUUUGUGCAUGUGUGUGUGUGUGUGUGUUUGUGUGUUUGUGCAUGUGUGUUUGUGCAUGUGUGUGAGUGUGUGUGUUUGUGCGUGUGUGUUUGUGCAUGUGUGUGUGUGUUUGUGCAUGUGUGUGUUUGUGUGUUUGUGCGUGUGUGUGUGUGUGUGCAUGUGUGUGAGUGUAUGUGUGUUUGUGCAUGUGUGUGUGUGUGUUUGUGCAUGUGUGUGUUUGUGCAUGUGUGUGUUUGUGCGUGUGUGUGUGUGUGUGUGUGUGUGUUUGUGUGUUUGUGCAUGUGUGUGUGUGUUUGUGCAUGUGUGUGUGUGUGUGUGUGUUUGUGCAUGUGUGUGUGUGUUUGUGUGUUUGUGCGUGUGUGUGUGUUUGUGCAUGUGUGUGUUUGUGCAUGUGUGUGUGUGCGUGAGUGUGUGUGUGUUUGUGCAUGUGUGUGAGUGUGUGUGUGUUUGUGCGUGUGUGUUUGUGCAUGUGUGUGUUUGUGCAUGUGUGUGUUUGUGCAUGUGUGAGUGUGUGUGUUUGUGCGUGUGUGUGUUUGUGCAUGUGUGUGAGUGUGUGCGUGUGUGUUUGUGUGUGUGUGUUUGUGUGUGUUUGUGCAUGUGUGUGUGUGUGUGUGUGUGUGUGUGUUUGUGCAUGUGUGUGAGUGUGUGUGUGAGUGUGCAUGUGUGUGUGUGUGUGUUUGUGCAUGUGUGUGUGUAACCCUCUCUUCCUCUCAUUCUUGUUAAACCACUGAUUAAAGGUAGCUGUAGUAAA